UAUUUGUCUCUACAGUGUUAAAUCCAGUGUUUUAUUUUGAUUCUACAUUCAUUUUGAUUUUACUUUUGACUUUCAUUCUACGUUCAUUUUGAUUGAGUUGUUUUGAGGAUUUUGCGGGAGGACUCCCUUUGGAAUUGCCGAAUGCUGUUGUUUGUCGGGUGGAUGCCUUGGAAGCAGAGUUAACUGCUACUAAAAAGAUCUUUGCAAAAUAUCCAUAUAUGGAUCAGUGCCAUGGACUCUUCUCAACCUAUGGACCUCAAGAUCUCACACAAUUGGUGCGGCUCGAAUGGAUCUGUACCAGAGCCUCUUGUGCAGCAGUAUGGUGGCUCUGCAGCUCACAACACUGCAGAAAUUACAAAGGAGCUUAUUUGUUGGAGAUUUGAAGAGUAAAACUUAGCGGCGCUGUACCGCUGGAAGUGGUAAUUGCUAAUCAGGGAUAGAGUGAGCGAAUCACAAGUCAACCAAGUCUUGAAUGAUGAAUUGAGCCAGAUCAUUGAGUUCCAAUUUCAGUUGUUGCUUCUUUUAGAAAAAUGAAAAGGCUCGUUUGAAACAAUUUGUCAAUAGCGACUGCAUUGAGGGAAUCUUCCCUCCUUGCCAAAUUGGAUUGUUCAUCCCCGUGGUCAUAGGACACUUGCAUGAUGACCCCCGUGGUGAAAAAACUAGGAAUUAAACCCCUGUGGUCUAGAAUGUUAGCAAAUUUAAUCCAAAAGUUGUGAGUUCGAAUGGGAAGGUGUAACAUAUUCAUCCUCUUUCAUUAAUUGAAAACAGGGAUCCAAAGUGCACUAUUUUGGUAGAGAACCUACCUGAGGAUCACUAAGUGGAGAACCUUAAGAGUAUACUUGGUGAAGAUGGAAAAGAUAACAAUUACUGAGGCUCAAGCAUUACGAGGAGCAUGUCACUCUUAAAAAACAUGAUUGGAGGUGUUCAAGAAAAUGUGAAGUCUUUUAAGUGGCAAUUUCCUUCAAAUUUGGUGCCUGUUUCGUACUUUGACGGCUAGUUUCAUAUUUUUUAGUAUAGCUCAUUGGUUUUAGACCUUAUUUUUUUGAAUAUGUGAUUAGUUAUGGAAGACUAUAGCAAAACUGCAAUUUUGUGUAGCCUAUUAACUAUAUAUAUAUUUGGGUGCCCAGAUUAAUGGCCCUUUUUAAAAAAAAAAAAAUAUUACAAUAUGGCCACCAAUGUAUAAAAAUUAUAUAAUAUUUCAAAGGUGUAACUAUUCAUUGUGCUACCAUUAUCUAAUUGGUGGUGCUUGUAACAAUAGAGUCCUCUACAUAGGACAUGUUCUCUAAUUUAAUGGCUGCUUGGUGGUCAUUGAGGUUUGCUAUCAAUGAGUGUAACCACAAUUGACAAUAGACACCAAUGAAAGUGGUGUCUUUUAACCAAAUUUCUAGUGCAAAUUCCAUGAAUAUUCGUUUCACUGCUUAUC